rnacentral:lncRNA from 1 species
CAUACUGCAAUACAUACAUAUUGUACAUCUUGAACUUAUGCAAUGUUAUAUGUAAAUUAUAACAAAAAAAAUCUAACUCAUCUCACAAUUUGCUCAAAGCAGCUUUGAAAUAAGAAGAGGAGCAGCAAUAAGAAAUUCCACAAAUGAUUCACAGGCUGUAUUCUGACCGGAAACAAGUGUUUCACUCACAACUGGAUGCUUUCUCACUUUUAAUACCUCUUCGAAAGUUGGUUUAUGUGUCCGAAUGUCAAUGCCUCACCCUGCUCCGAACAAAAACAGUAUCAGGUGUGUCCAUAAGGACUACAAAUGCCAGAAGAAACACUGUCAAAGAAUUAUGGAAGACGUAUGGUGCUGAAGAGAUUUUGGUAUUCAGUGGGAUAGUCCGAGUCAUCAUAAACAUAAAGAGGGGUCAAUUCUGCAUCUUGAUAAAAGUGCAAUGUGUCACAUUUUGAAAAGCAGACGUUGGAUUUAAGUAGAAAAUGGGUAGCACGUGCAUUUUUGUUUCAAUCUCUUUAUCUCCUUAUUUGCAUCUGAUAUGUCAAAUUAUCAAGGAACUCUUCAGACAAAGAAUAGGACCCAGGAAUUAAAUAAGUCCUCAUAAGCCUUCAUCUUUCAUAAAUUGUCGUAAAGUGUGAAGAUAAGAUCCAGGACAGGCUGAUAUUUAAAAGUUUCUGCUUAUAGAAUGACUCCUCCGAUAUUGCCAUUGUUCUUUUACAUUUUCUCUCUUCAAAUUCUGGCAGGCAUGUGAUAUCCCAUACAGCAGCUUUUGAGGACAGAACUUGAAUAAUAAAACUUUGCCAGCUGAUACUUACA